rnacentral:rRNA from 1 species
CGCCAGACUCCUACGGGAGGCAGCAGUGGGGAAUAUUGCACAAUGGGGGAAACCCUGAUGCAGCGACGCCGCGUGAAGGAUGAAGUAUUUCGGUAUGUAAACUUCUAUCAGCAGGGAAGAAAAUGACGGUACCUGACUAAGAAGCCCCGGCUAACUACGUGCCAGCAGCCGCGGUAAUACGUAGGGGGCAAGCGUUAUCCGGAUUUAUUGGGUGUAAAGGGCGUGUAGGCGGGAAUGCAAGUCAGAUGUGAAAACUAUGGGCUCAACCCAUAGCCUGCAUUUGAAACUGUAUUUCUUGAGUGCUGGAGAGGCAAUCGGAAUUCCUGGUGUAGCGGUGAAAUGCGUAGAUAUCAGGAGGAACACCGGCGGCGAAGGCGGCCUGCUGGACCGCGACUGACGUUGAGGCUCGAAAGCGUGGGGAGCGAACAGGAUUAGAUACCCCCGUAA